rnacentral:rRNA from 1 species
UACGGAGGGUGCAAGCGUUAUCCGGAUUCACUGGGUUUAAAGGGUGCGUAGGUUGAUAGGUAAGUCAGUGGUGAAAUACUCCGACUCAAUCGGAGAACUGCCGUUGAUACUAUCUAUCUUGAAUACGGUGGAGGCGGGCGGAAUGCGUCAUGUAGUGGUGAAAUACUUAGAUAUGACGCAGAACACCCAUUGCGAAGGCAGCUCGCUACACCGGCAUUGACACUGAGGCACGAAAGCGUGGGGAUCAAACAGGAUUAGAUACCCUGGUAGUCCACGCCCUAAACGAUGUUCACUCGAUCUCGGCGAUACACAGUCGGGGUCUAUGCAAAAGCAUUAAGUGAACCACCUGGGGAGUACGAUCGCAAGAUUGAA